AUUCUUCAAAGUGGUGCCCCAGCUUGGCCGCAAUGUGGUAAAUUUUAAUCCUUUCACCUGCAGGAUUUUCACUAAGAAAAAAAGAAGAAAAAAACUCGGAUUUUUGGCGUUGAAUCAAGUACCCUGAGCUCCUUAUAUACUGCAAACUCCUUUUUU